AUACACAUAUAUAUGUAUUCUUUUUUUUCUCUCUCUCUUUAAACAGUAAAUAAAUUCUCUCUAUAUGUCUCUAUCUCAGUAACCUCCUCUCACAGCCACUAGUUUGUGUUGUUUCAUCACCAUCAACGACAGGUUUAGGUUCAGAGUGACGUUGGCAAAGGAAUAUCGUGACUAUUUUAGGCAUAAAUCAAGACUACAAGGGUGAAGUGCUUUGAUGAGUACUGUAUUACAAAAGCAGGGGAAGCCUUGGUGGGAAUGAGAGUAGCCGCAUAUCUAGGUGUGUGGAUCGCUAGCUUGAGGCCACUGGCAUUAGUAGCAGGUCUCUAUUUAGUGCAUCACACUGAAAUUUUGGUGUAGAAUUUCUUGAAGAAUUUCGAAGUUGCCUACUUUCAGAGAAACUACAGAUAGUGUAUAGGUUGUGUGUGAUCUGCUUCCCCAAUUCUGAAAUGCACAUGGGGACAUUUGUUUUCUCACAUUAAGAGCUGAUUUAUGUAGUUGGAUUUUUUCCUAGCAAA